UUUACAAAGGAAGCUGUUUUGGAAAGACUAAAACAGGCAGGCAAAAAGGCAGCUAAGCAGUUGGCAGGCAAUUUAGCUGAAGAAGCUUUGGCUGCUCUGGGUUUACCUGCAGAUUUACUUACUGCUACUGGACCAUGCCCCAGACCAGAAAAUAUGACAUUGGCCUUAUUGAAAGGCAAGAUGAUUGAUGGAGGCCUGAGUACUGAUGGUACAAGACUGGUUCUUAAUUCUAGAUAUGAGCUGUAUGAUAGAAGUUGUUAUUCAGCACUUAUCAACCAAACUCUGAUUCUUUCUAACAUUUCUGAUCCUGAUCUUAAGAAAUUCCUGUACUACCAAAUAUCUCCAAACUGUAUGAGAUUUGAUG